rnacentral:misc_RNA from 1 species
GUUCCGUAGGUGAACCUGCGGAAGGAUCAUUAUCAUGUAAUUCAGUCCCCUUGGCUGUGUUAUAUAUAUACCCACUCUGUGUACCUUCUCCUGUUGCUUCCGCUGGGUGUGUAAUUCGCCCGGCGGAAGGGUAAAAAUAACCUCUGAGUAUUGAUGAAAUCUCUGUCUGAACCGAAUAGAAAGAAAAAUGUUAAAACUUUCAGCAACGGAUCUCUUGGCUCUC